GCUAGCGUAGCUUAAUGCAAAGCAUAACACUGAAGAUGUUAAGACGGGCCCUAAAAAGCUCCGCAUGCA
rnacentral:tRNA from 1 species